rnacentral:rRNA from 1 species
AUUCCAGCUCCAAUAGCGUAUAUUAAAGUUGUUGCAGUUAAAAAGCUCGUAGUUGGAUUUCGGAACCGGCCGAUUGGUCCGUCCUCUGGAUCGUGUACUGAUCGGUCUGUUCUUCUUCGCGAAGACCGCGUGUGCCCUUAACUGGGUGGGCGCGGGAUUCGCGACGUUUACUUUGAAAAAAUUAGAGUGUUCAAAGCAGGCAGUCGCUUGAAUAUCUCAGCAUGGAAUAAUAGAAUAGGACUUUGGUCUUAUUUUGUUGGUUUCCGAGACCGAAGUAAUGAUUAAUAGGGACAGUUGGGGGCAUUCGUAUUUCAUUGUCAGAGGUGAAAUUCUUGGAUUUAUGAAAGACGAACUUCUGCGAAAGCAUUUGCCAAGGAUGUUUCAUCG